AAAAACGCGCGCGAUCGCUCGUGCUCCUCCCCUCCCUUUCCCCCUGCGUCUUCCUCUUCGCCUUGUUCGCUCCUUUAGCUGCCGUCGUCUCCGUGGAGAAGUGCACUCACGCCGAUAAGCGUUUUUCUCUAUCUUCUUUGCGAUACACACGCACACGCACGUACGCCAGAUACGUGGGGUCUCUCGUGCCGCCUCCCCAACCUUUCCCUCCCGCGGUCAUACCACGCGUGCUUGCGCACACACGCGAAGGGCGAGCGAGACGCAAGACCGGUCACGACAGCAGCACACAGGCAAACGAAGCAACAAGAUGCCCAGCGACGAGAGCCGGUGGUGCUUAAUCGAGAGCGAUCCGGCGGUGUUCAGGGAGAUCAUCCAAACCGUCGGUGUGAAGGGGGUCUCCGUGGAGGACCUCAUUAUGCUUGACUCCUCGAUGCUGGAGCAGUACGAGCACGUCUACGGCCUUGUGUUGCUGUUCAAGUGGCAGUCGUCGGAGCAGGCGCCGCCGCUCGGCACCGUCGUGAAGGACGCGCCGGUGUUCUUUGCCAAGCAGGUGAUACACAACGCCUGCGCCACGCUCGCCAUCAUAAACACGCUGUGCAACUACUCGGAUCAGGUGGAGCUGGGGCCAAAGGUGCAGAGAUACCUGAGCUUCUGCCAGGAGCUCGACCCGGAAAUGCGCGGCUCGCUUCUGGACAGCUUCGAUGAGCUGCGCGAGGCACACAACUCCUUCGCACCACACUCGGCGUUUACGAAAGACGGGCCGUCGCCAAAGGACGCGGAUGUGUAUCAUUUCGCCUCCUUUGUAUACCGCCACGGACACAUCUGGGAGCUCGAUGGGCUGCAGGAGGGUCCGCUUCAGUGCCGCGAGGCGACGGAGGCGAACUAUCGAGAGGCGCUCGUGGAGGUCGUGCAGCGGCGCAUCGACGACAUUGCAGCGAAGGACACGACGGGUGCCGGUCAGGGCAUCUCCUUCUCGCUUAUGACGAUUGUGGACGACCCGGUCACGGUGUUGGAGAAGAAGAUUGCCGCUCUCCAGGCCGAGGAAAAGCCGACGACGGCGCUCGACGAAGAGCUGGCCGAGAUGCUGUCACUGCGCAAGAAGGACAAAGAGGCUAACGUGCGUCGCCGUCAUGACUACAAUGCCAUGAUCGUGGCGCUGCUGAAGUCCCUGGCGGAGCGUGGCAAACUGGAGAAGAUCGUGGCGGAGGUGCAGGCGAAGGCCUCCAAGUAGAGCAACACGAAAGACACCGUAGAUGUGAUGUGGAUUCUGCGUUGCCACAGUGGCCGUGGUGCACGGUGGCAUGCGAGAGCGUCUUCUCAGUUGUGCGCUCUCCCUCUCUCUGUCUGUCUGUCUGUCUAUGCCUCCUCCCUCCCCCUCCCGAAUUCCUUGACCUCGAAGGAACAAGCUCGUGCAUCUCUGUACGUCUCUGCCUUUCUUCGUGGUCUUGCACAUGCGGGCGGAGUGAUCUGCGCUUAUUAGUUUCCCAACGUCGUUUGUGUGCGUGUGCGUGGCACGCUCACGCGCGUCUGUGUGUGUGUGUGUUUAUGUGUGUAUGUUUGUUUGUGUGUGUGUGUGUGUGUUGACGAGCUACCCUGUUCGCCUUGCCGUUUCCCUUCUCUCGCCGCAUCUGUUGGUGGACG
rnacentral:misc_RNA from 1 species